rnacentral:rRNA from 1 species
AUUGAACGCUGGCGGCAGGCCUAACACAUGCAAGUCGAGCGAGCGGCGGACGGGUGAGUAAUACCUAGGAAUCUGCCUGGUAGUGGGGGAUAACUAGUCGAAAGACUAGCUAAUACCGCAUACUAUAGGAGCGGCCGAUGUCUGAUUAGCUAGUUGGUGGGGUAAAGGCCUACCAAGGCGACGAUCAGUAGCUGGUCUGAGAGGACGAUCAGCCACACUGGGACUGAGACACGGCCCAGACUCCUACGGGAGGCAGCAGUGGGGAAUUUUGGACAAUGGGGGCAACCCUGAUCCAGCAAUGCCGCGUGUGUGAAGAAGGCCUUCGGGUUGUAAAGCACUUUUGUCCGGGAAGCGGUACCGGAAGAAUAAGGACCGGCUAACUACGUGCCAGCAGCCGCGGUAAUAC